AGCGCCGACUGCGCAGUUGCAGAAGCCAGGGCCAGCUGGAGCCCAGCUGUUUGCUCCGCUAGAGAGAUGAGGUUGUCUAUGGACUUCCAGCGGCUUCUGCUAUCAUAAGUAAUUUCUGAAAAUGGAGUCUCUGGCAUCCAGGCUGGAGUGCAAUGUCGCAGUCUUGGCUCACUGCCACCUCUACUUCCCAGGUUCAAGCUAUCUUCCUGCCUCACCCUCCCAAGUAGCUGGGAUUACAGGUGCUGGGGAUACAGAGGUGAACACAACAGACAGGCGGGAUCUAUGUUAUUACAGAGCUGACAUUUUCAGGAUGUACAAACAAGCACAGAAAACACUUGUGAGCCCGAGCUGAGAACCCAAAAGGCACGCUUCAGGCCAUCGUAGCCACCAAGCCUGGUCAGAUUCCGUCCACUGUCUCCUUGGUGCUCCGAGACCCAAAUCGCUAACUGGGGCCGAGGGCGGGCGUGACUGCGCAGGCGCGCCUCCCCUGCGAGAUGCCGGAG